CUGGCUCAGAACGAACGCUGGCGGCAGGCUUAACACAUGCAAGUUGAACGGGAUUGCUUGGUGCUUGCACCAGGUAAUGAGAGUAGCGCACUGGUGAGUAACACGUGGGAACAUGCCUUUUGGUGGGGGACAACAGAGGGAAACUUCUGCUAAUACCGCAUAAGCCCUAAGGGGGAAAGAUAGUAUUGCCGAAAGAUUGGCCCGCGGAAGAUUAGGUAGUUGGUGGGGUAAAGGCCUACCAAGCCGACGAUCUAUAGCUGGUCUGAGAGGACGAACAGCCACAUUGGAACUGAGACACGGUCCAGACUCCUACGGGAGGCAGCAGUGAGGAAUAUUGGGCAAUGGAGGAAACUCUGACCCAGCCAUGCCGCGUGAGUGAAGAAGGUUUUCGAAUUGUAAAGCUCUUUCGGAUACGAGGAUGAUGACGGUAGUAUCUAAAGAAGCCCCGGCAAACUUCGUGCCAGCCGCCGC
rnacentral:rRNA from 1 species